rnacentral:rRNA from 1 species
ACGGCUCAGUAACACGUGGACAACCUGCCCUUAGGUUGGGUAUAAACCCGGGAAACUGGGUAUAAUACCCGAUAGGUCUCGAUUGCUGGAAUGCAUCGAGAUUUAAAGCUCCGGCGCCUAAGGAUGGGUCUGCGGCCUAUCAGGUAGUAGUGGGUGUAGCGUACCUACUAGCCUACGACGGGUACGGGUUGUGAGAGCAAGAGCCCGGAGAUGGAUUCUGAGACACGAAUCCAGGCCCUACGGGGUGCAGCAGGCGCGAAAACUUUACAAUGCUGGCAACAGCGAUAAGGGAGCCUCGAGUGCCAGGUUACAAAUCUGGCUGUCGAGAUGCCUAAAAAGCAUUUCAUAGCAAGGGCCGGGCAAGACCGGUGCCAGCCGCCGCGGUAACACCGGCGGCUCGAGUGGUAACCGUUAUUAUUGGGUCUAAAGGGUCUGUAGCCGGCCGGAUAAGUCUCUUGAGAAAUCUGGCAGCUUAACUGUCAGGCUUUCAGGAGAUACUGUCUGGCUCGAGGCCGGGAGAGGUGAGAGGUACUUCAGGGGUAGGGGUGAAAUCUUGUAAUCCUUGAAGGACCACCAGUGGCGAAGGCGUCUCACCAGAACGGACCUGACGGCAAGGGACGAAAGCUAGGGGCACGAACCGGAUUAGAUACCCGGGUAGUCCUAGCCGUAAACGAUACUCGCUAGGUGUCGGCCACGGUGCGACCGUUGUCGGUGCCGUAGGGAAGCCGUGAAGCGAGCCACCUGGGAAGUACGGCCGCAAGGCUGAAACUUAAAGGAAUUGGCGGGGGAGCAC